CUGCCCGCCGUGUCUGCCAGAACUCAGGCCAGUGGUCGGGGGAGGAGCCGCGCUGUGAGGGCCGCUAUGGCUACGACAACGUGACCUCUGUGGCCGAGCAUCUGGACGUGUCAGAAGAAAUCACCUCGCACGCACAAACAGGCACCAACAUAUACUUUGUCCUGCACACAUCGGGCAGCAUCGGGGCCAAGAAUCUGAAAACAAGUUGGGA